UGGGGAAUAUUGGGCAAUGGGCGAAAGCCUGACCCAGCGACGCCGCGUGGGUGAUGAAGGCCUUCGGGUCGUAAAGCCCUGUCAGGAGGAAAGAACGAUCUUGUGGUGAAUACCCACGAGAUGUGACGGUACCUCCGAAGGAAGCACCGGCCAAUUCCGUGCCAGCAGCCGCGGUAAGACGGAAGGUGCAAGCGUUGCUCGGAAUCACUGGGCGUAAAGGGUGCGUAGGCGGCUUCUUAAGUCUGGUGUGAAAGCCCAGGGCUCAGCUCUGGAAGUGCACUAGAUACUGGGGAGCUUGAGUACCGGAGGGGAGAGUGGAAUUCCUGGUGUAGCGGUGAAAUGCGUAGAUAUCAGGAGGAAUACCGGUGGCGAAAGCGACUCUCUGGACGGUUACUGACGCUGAGGCACGAAAGCGUGGGGAGCAAACAGGAUUAGAUACCCAGUAGUCCCUGAGCGGGCUGGCAAGGCGCAU
rnacentral:rRNA from 1 species